AAUCAAGUUGCUCACAGCAGUAAAAGGAAUGUAUAUCUCAUUCACAUUGAAUUUGUGCCCGCAAGGGUUUAUUUGAAAAGAAAGCUUCUAAGUUGUAAGUGAAUAGCUCUUCAAGUGCUUUAAAAGAUUCUGGAGUUAAAACAGCAACAUGUGGAGACAGCACCACAUUAUCCAACCCAAACAAUUCUUCUGGCACAUGAGGUUCAUUUUCAUAAACAUCAAGACCAGCACCGCCAAUCUCACCUCUCUUCAGAAACUGAACCAAUUCCUUCUCAUCAAUGAGUGCCCCUCGUCCAACAUUUAUGACAAUACCUUCCUUCCCAAGGGCAGUCAGCACUUCUUUGCCAACUAUGCGGUGUGUUUCUUUUGUUAAAGCACAACAAAGAAUUAGAACAUCACUGUUGAUUGCAAGAUCAUGAAUAUUAGAAUGGAAAGGAAACGAAACAUUGGGCUUCAUCCUCUUUGAGGUGUAUGCAAUGCUGCAGCCAAAGGCCUCAAGUCUUUUACCAACCCUCGAACCAAUGCUCCCUAAACCUACAAUGCCCACUCGUUUCCCACCAACCUUGGAACCGAGGGGAAAUUCUCCUUUAACAGGCCAAGAGCCAGCACAAACAAAACGGUUAGCAACAGAUACACGACGGAGGACGUCAAUCAAUAGGCCGACGGCAAAG
rnacentral:misc_RNA from 1 species